rnacentral:rRNA from 1 species
UACGGAGGGUGCAAGCGUUGCUCGGAAUUAUUGGGCGUAAAGGGCAGGUAGGUGGUCUCGUUUGUCUGGGGUGAAAGCCUUGAGCUUAACUCGAGAAGUGCCUCAGAAACGGCGAGACUAGAGUACUGGAGAGGGUCGUGGAAUUCCCGGUGUAGCGGUGAAAUGCGUAGAGAUCGGGAGGAACACCAGCGGCGAAGGCGAGUCCCUGGACGAUACCUGACACUGAGGCACGAAAGCCAAGGGAGCAAACAGG